rnacentral:rRNA from 1 species
CCUACGGGAGGCAGCAGUGGGGAAUAUUGGGCAAUGGAGGAAACUCUGACCCAGCACCGCCGCGUGAAUGAUGAAGGUCUUCGGAUUGUAAAGUUCUUUUCUAAGGGAAGAAGAAAGUGACGGUACCUUAGGAAUAAGCCUCGGCUAACGAUGUGCCAGCAGCCGCGGUAAUACGGAGGAGGCGAGAGUUAUCCGGAAUGACUGGGCGUAAGGGGUGCGUAGGUGGGUUGGCAAGUUAGUAGCGUAACUCCAAGGCUCAACCUUGGAACUACUACUAAAACUGUUGGACUUGAGUGCAGGAGGGGCAACCGGAAUUCCUAAUGUAGCGGUGGAAUGCGUAGAUAUUAGGAGGAACACCAGUGGCGAAGGCGGGUUGCUAGACUGUAACUGACACUGAGGCACGAAAGCGUGGGGAGCAAACAGGAUUAGAUACCCCGGUAGUC